rnacentral:rRNA from 1 species
AUACGGAAGGUCCAGGCGUUAUCCGGAUUUAUUGGGUUUAAAGGGAGCGUAGGCCGUCUGUUAAGCGUGUUGUGAAAUGUAGAUGCUCAACAUCUGAAUUGCAGCGCGAACUGGCAGACUUGAGUGUGCGCAACGUAGGCGGAAUUCGUGGUGUAGCGGUGAAAUGCUUAGAUAUCACGAAGAACUCCAAUUGCGAAGGCAGCUUACCGGGGUACAACUGACGCUGAGGCACGAAAGUGUGGGUAUC